GAGUCUGCCUUCGACUGGGCUCCUAUCACCCCUGAGGAUGCAGUGCCCCCCAGGACCUUUGACACCUGGGGAUCUGAGAGGCCC